AUAUUGUACAAUGGGGGCAACCCUGAUCCAGCCAUGCCGCGUGUGUGAAGAAGGUCUUCGGUUUGUACAGCACUUUAAUUUGGGAGGAAGGGCUUUAGGUUAAUACCCUGAAGUUUUGAUGUUACCAACAGAAUAAGCACCGCCUAAUCCGAUCCCGCCAGCCGCGGUAAUACAGAGGGUGCAGGCGUUAAUCGGAAUUACUGGGCAUAAAGCGCGCGUAGGUGGUUCAGUAAGAUGGGUGUGAAAUACCCGAGCUUAACCUGGGAACUGCUUUAAUAACUGCUGAGCUAGAGUACGGUAGAGGGUAGUGGAAUUUCCUGUGUAGCGGUGAAAUGCGUAGAUAUAGGAAGGAACACCAGUGGCGAAGGCGACUACCUGGACUAAUACUGACACUGAGGUGCGAAAGCGUGGGGAGCAAAC
rnacentral:rRNA from 1 species